rfam:Tetraodon nigroviridis chromosome 4 SCAF14533, whole genome shotgun sequence.
UAAAUGGAUGUUCUCACAUCCAUUCCUUAUAGGCAAAAAUGGAUAAU